AUCGUACCCCAAACCGACACAGGUGGUCAGGUAGAGAAUACCAAGGCGCUUGAGAGAACUCGGGUGAAGGAACUAGGCAAAAUGGUGCCGUAACUUCGGGAGAAGGCACGCUGAUAUGUAGGUGAAGUCCCUUGCGGAUGGAGCUGAAAUCAGUCGAAGAUACCAGCUGGCUGCAACUGUUUAUUAAAAACACAGCACUGUGCAAACACGAAAGUGGACGUAUACGGUGUGACGCCUGCCCGGUGCCGGAAGGUUAAUUG
rnacentral:rRNA from 1 species